CGGCACGGUCAAAGGCAACGAUGCUCAUGUGAAAGGAGGAGCGCCACAGCCCGCGACGCUCAGGGAGCCUGUAGCCGUCAAUGUCGCCCUCGAUCACCCAGUCGUCAUCGUCUGCGAUGGGGCGUCUCGGUACGAUGUUGGGGUCGCCGUCUGGGUAAAGCGCGUCGAUCGCGCCGACGACGGCCUCAAGGACAUUGACCGAGCAUCGGCGCACGGCGACGUCGAGCAUGGCAUAGGCCAGUUCUUGGCCGUCGGGCAGCCAUCCCACGCUGUGGGGACGCAAGGCGCGCCCGGGCCGGGCCGGCACGGCUGGUAUGGGCGCGAACGAGGCGCUCGUCAUCGGGUCGAGCGCAUAGGCCACGGUGUCCGACCUGCCUGUGGCCAAGAAGACGACGUGGGCCUGGGCACGCGAGGCGCCCCACUCGGCGACCAUGCGCUCGGCCAUGGCGUCGGCAUACUGCCCAGUCAGGUCCAUGGGCGCAUCGCGCAGCCAUUCGGCGACGGCCGACGCGCACACGAGCAUGCCACGGCGCCAUCGACGGCGGCGUGCGUGCGUCGUGUCAAAGUCCACAUAGUGGUCGCCGGCGCCGACCAUCGGAUAGCGAAAGAACCGCUGUGGAUCGCCGAGGGCGUCGCUGUCCCACGGGGUCGGGUGCUCGACAGCCGCGCGCAAGAGGCGGCACGCCAUGCGGGCCAUGGGCCGCCAACGUGGGUCCAUAAAGGCGCGGCCAUGGCGGUCGCGCCCAUUGACGAUCAGCGCCACCAGUUCAAUAGGCAACAAUGCCCACAAAGUGGAUCCAUCAUUGUUAUCGUUAUCGUUGGCAUCGGCGUCCUCUUGCAUCCUCGGUCGCGUGGUCGGUUCGAAAGCCUUGGCCUGGACCGCGUGUCUCUCUUGUGUGUUUUUUUUCACGCCGCGGCGGGUCCCUUUGUGCGCGCUGCAGCCCCAAUAGGUCGGCCUAUUGGCACUCUCUGGGUCUGCUCGCCAACCCGAAAAAAGAAAAUGGGAAAUAAAGAUUGCAUGGCGCCCGCUCAUCGCGCCCGCAAAGAAUUUUUACGCCCAUCCGA
rnacentral:lncRNA from 1 species